UACGUAGGGCGCAAGCGUUAUCCGGAAUUAUUGGGCGUAAAGAGCUCGUAGGCGGUUUGUCGCGUCUGCCGUGAAAGUCCGGGGGCUCAACUCCGGAUCUGCGGUGGGUACGGGGCAGACUAGAGUGAUGUAGGGGGAGACUGGAAUUCCUGGGUGUAGCGGGUGAAAUGCGCAGAUAUCAGGAGGAACACCGAUGGCGAAGGCAGGUCUCUGGGCAUUUAACUGACGCUGAGGAGCGAAAGCGUGGGGGAGCGAACAGG
rnacentral:rRNA from 1 species